UUUCAUAAUAUAUUUUCUGUUGUUUAGUUUACCGUUGGUAGUCGCAGUCGCGCUGUAUGAAUUCGGUAGUACCUUUACAUUUGUUCAUACGUGGUAGUACUUGACAAGGUACUCAUUCGACCUAGCAGUACCGAUAACUACCCUUCGAUAGUUUCGUUGCGAUUUUAUCACGUUUCGGGUUAUUUAAGGAAUAUUGUCAAAACAGGUACUCUUCUUGCAAGAAAUAAGCAGACGCUGCUGGUGACAACCAAGACGGAAGAGGUGUAUCACACCUCCGAUAGAUAGAAAUAAGAUAUUUGACAUCAAAUUUAUAAGGAUAUACCUACAAAUUAAGCUGUAAGGACGAAUGUUGUGAUCUUUCUUCAACUUGGUCUCAUUUUAAAGAACCAAGAAACUUGGUCUUUUGGUGAGUGUACAAAACAAUGCGAUCUUUGGAAAUGACUGCAUCAUGGAAUGAAGAAGACGAAGACGUAGAAGUGGAAGACAUGGAAAUCAGGAAGCACUCAAAUGACGGAAGAGACGAUCUUACAGAAUCAAGCAGCGACGAGGCGACAGGCAAAAAAAGAAGGAAACACGGCGGUAGCGCAUCCAGUGGCAGUGCGUCAAGCGGGACGACGAUACGUAGGCGGAAAACUUGUAUAAGUGCGAGAGAGAGAAAUUUACGAAGACUGGAAAGUAACGAGAGAGAAA
rnacentral:misc_RNA from 1 species